UCCUUAUUAGCUCAGUUGGUAGAGCGUUCGGCUUUUAAGGAUUGUUUCAUUUCGAGACAAAGAAGUCGACCGAAAUGUCCAGGGUUCGAGCCCCUGAUGAGGAG
rfam:Pachysolen tannophilus NRRL Y-2460 unplaced genomic scaffold PACTA_scaffold_2, whole genome shotgun sequence.